CUAGCGGUGGUGGAUGAUUCAUCAACAGCCAAACACGCGUCAGGCUCUCUGUUUUCUUUCUAUACGUUAAAACCAACAAAUGUUACUCCGUUUCACACCAGGUUUUCCUUUUCUUUCUUUAUUUCUCACACCAGAAUUCCUCCUAUCUCGCUUCACCGGAACGGAUUAGAUCGACCAUAGUGUUAAAUCAAUAAACUCUCGCCGCCAAACGCCGUAGCCUUCGUCGUCUCUGUGCAGCCGGAAUUAACAGUUCAUGACUCAUUUCGCCGUUGCCAAAUCGCUUAAGAAUCAAAUCUUCAAUUGAAGUAUUAUUGGCCCUAAAUGGUUAGUUAAUCUGCACCGGUUAGCAAUGGCAGAGCCGACACGGUGGUGGUGUUUCCACAUUGGAGGCUAUUGGAAAAAAAUUCUUGCUUGGUUGAAGGAGAACUUUGCAGAGGCUAUGAGGAAAGAUGAUAUAAAAGCCAUAACUGGGGUGUAUACAACAAGCAUAGAUCUUGAGCAAGGAAAGAUCACAGUGUACAGGAAAACAUCUUGAGCUAUGGGGCCCACAAAAGGCAU